rnacentral:rRNA from 1 species
UACAGAGGUCUCAAGCGUUGUUCGGAUUCAUUGGGCGUAAAGGGUGCGUAGGCGGCGCGGUAAGUCGGGUGUGAAAUCUCGGGGCUUAACUCCGAAACUGCAUUCGAUACUGCCGUGCUUGAGGACUGGAGAGGAGACUGGAAUUUACGGUGUAGCGGUGAAAUGCGUAGAUAUCGUAAGGAAGACCAGUGGCGAAGGCGGGUCUCUGGACAGCAACUGACGCUGAGGCACGAAGGCCAGGGGAGCAAACGGG